rnacentral:rRNA from 1 species
CCUANGGGGGGCUGCAGUGGGGAAUAUUGCACAAUGGGGGAAACCCUGAUGCAGCGACGCCGCGUGGAGGAUGAAGGUCUUCGGGUUGUAAACUCCUUUUCUUGGGGAAGAUAAUGACGGUACCCAAGGAAUAAGCCACGGCUAACUCUGUGCCAGCAGCCGCGGUAAUACAGAGGGUGCGAGCGUUGUCCGGAAUCACUGGGCGUAAAGGGCGCGUAGGUGGCUUGCGAAGCGUGCGGUGAAAGCCCGGAGCUCAACUCCGGGUCGGCCGUGCGUACUGGCAGGCUUGAGCACGGUAGAGGCUAAUGGAAUUCCGGGUGUAGCGGUGGAAUGCGUAGAGAUCCGGAAGAACAUCGGUGGCGAAGGCGGUUAGCUGGGCCGUUGCUGACACUGAGGCGCGACAGCGUGGGGAGCAAACAGGAUUAGAUACCCCANUANUC